rnacentral:lncRNA from 1 species
AUGGCUAAGGAGAACGAAUCGGCUUCGCAGGCCACCGUCAAUGGAGACAAUACACUCACGAGAUCUACGAUGUCGUCCAUUGGGGUGAGCGUCGUUACCCUAUCUUUUUGUUCGCAUAUUUUUCCUGUAUUAAUUCUAGGGUUUUUUAUUUAGAUCGGAAGAGGAUGUGUUUUGCUUAGGGAAACAUAUCGAGAAUGUACGAGACAUUGAUGGUGCCGUCCGAGGGUUCCUCAUUCUUGGCGUGAUGAUAGACUUGUGUUAAUAAUGGUGAGCAUUUUUGCCCUAUUCUUCUGUUCACACCUUUUUCUUGUAUUAAUUCUAGGGUUCCUUUGCAUGAUAGAAGAACGCUUAGGGUUUCACCUCACGCGGUGAUACCUGAUUAGCUUUAAAUAUAAUAGUUGUAGAAAUAGUAGCAUUUAAACAAUAAAUGAAGUUUAUGGAGUGGAGUCGAAUUAGGGUACUUCAAUGUAGGUGUGCAGCAGAUGCAUUUUUCAAAGAUUUGGGAUCACAGAGAGCAGAGAGCGUUAUUCUGAUCACCAACUUCAUAUCCUCCCUUAUUUUGAGGACAAGAAAUUGGUGGUGAAAAGGGAGAGCACAAAUGAGUUUUCCUUUUCUAUUUUUCUGUUUAUAUUUCCAACUUCAUCUCGAUCGAGAGUUUAAAAAAUGGGAAAAAAGAGAAAAACCAUGUUUACAUUAUCUACAUCUCAAGUAUAGAUAAAUUUCUGCUGAGUCCAAAUUUAAGUUUCUUUGAGGUCAUUGUACAAACUAUGUAUUUUUUAAAGAGGUUUUGAUUUUGCAUUUUCUUUUGUAACUUGUGUUUGAAAAAACGUAUGAAUCUGGAAGUUUCAAGGAAAGUCACUUUCUAAAUCCUUUAUUGCAAAGGAUGCUCCAAGAAAUUUCUCAUACAGGCACGUUUAUUUUAUACUACCACCAUUUGUUCCUGUUUCUUUACAAUUUGUAGAAUGAUCUUAUGUCUGCUCUUUAAGUGAGCUGCCCGUUAAGCCUUAUGAUAGUUUCUUAUGUCUUAAACUUUAGAGCAUAACAAGAUGUGGUACUUCUCUAGAAUUUUGUGACAAGCCCGUGGGAAGGAAAAGAGAAGCCUUAGUAAAAGGACCUUCAUCCUUCCAUUCAUAUUUUUCUCUCUCACUCACACACGCACAUGCAGACAGUGACAUUUCAAUACAUAUAGGACUUUGUAAAAAUAUUCAAUUUAUCAUUUAAGAUUAAAUCAUACCAUUAUUUAUAUAGGAUAUUAACCCUGCUUCCCUUAAGCAUUUUAUUCAACUUCCUAGAGUUUGUUAGGGGCAACUGAAGAACCUUUGGGUUUGAGUUAUUCAAAUAGAUCCUAUCUUAUGUGGCGCCAAUGGGUAACCCAUUGCCCGUCCCUACCUGCUUUACAAGUGGCUCCACAACACAGGGACAAGUAUGAUUUGAUGGAAGUGUAA